rnacentral:lncRNA from 1 species
UUAAAGAUAGUUUCUCAGCGGGAGGCUGGACUAUCUGGGUAACAGUUUGAUUGUGUUGUUUAGUAUUGAUAUUAUUGUUUAGUUGUUUAGUAGUUAUGCCAUAUAGGCCGGACUACUGGUACUAUUGGUUAAGUCUUGUUGAGUCGAGUGUCUUGUUAGGAUCUGAAACUUUAUCGUUACGUUAGGUUCUAGAUUGAGUUUGUGUUGUGUGAGUGGUGCCGACAGUAUGUGCGUAACCCGCCCAUACUAGGCUUGUUUGGGGUUGAUUAGUGUUUCCUCGCCCUCGUAUUCAGCGGGUUCAAGGAAACACCGUAUUCGUUGGAUCGGGAAGACUCAGAGAGACGGGAUCAUGGCCUAGGGCUGAGUU